GCGGAUAUCGUAUAAUGGCAUUACCUCAGACUUCCAAUCUGAUGAUGUGAGUUCGAUUCUCAUUAUCCGCUCAA
rnacentral:tRNA from 1 species